rnacentral:RNase_P_RNA from 2 species
GCGGAGGGCCGGAUGGCCGCGGGGGUGCAAGCCUUCGAGGAAAGUCCGGACUCCACAAGGCAACGGUGCCGGGUAACGCCCGGCGGGGGCAACCCCAGGGAAAGCGCCACAGAGAAGAGACCGCCCUGAUCGGCCCGCAUGGGCCAGGUUCGCAGGAACGGUCAGGGUAAGGGUGAAACGGUGCGGUAAGAGCGCACCGCGGGACGGGUAACCGGACCGGCACGGCAAGCCCCACCGGGAGCAAUGCCGAAUAGGGAUCUCGGGCGGGUCACCCUCGGGGGUGACGCCGCAAGGCCGCCUUGGCCUGGAGAUCCGGGUUGGCAGCUAGAGGCGCGCGGGUAACCGCGGGCCGAGAUGAAUGGUCAUCGAACCGGUUCCGGAGACGGGCCGGGGAACAAAAUCCGGCUUACAGGCCCUCCGCGCGU